UGUGAAAUAAAAAACAAUUCAUCAAUUCAGAAACUUAAAAAAUUGUCGCGAUAAUAUUAUACAGCAGCGAAACGUGAAUAAUGCCUCAUUAUCAUAUAUUUUGAGUUUUUUAGCGAUAAAUGACGUGUAUACUGAACAUAUCAAUAAUGCGUUGUUAUAAUGAUGCUAGUAUGACACUUCUACGGUAUUUAGCCUUUUAAGAGAUAAAUUUGUUGCACGUUUGAAAUUUAUUGAUGCAAUCUUUUAAUAAAAGAAAGUUUUCGCUCUGACGAAACGAUUUCGUACUGCGCGUAGAUUGCCUUUACUCCUUGAUGAUCGUUCACCUUCGGUAUUUGGAACGAGCAUUUUUUGUGGGUAGCGAGCAUCAGAUGGCGAAUGAAACAGUGAUUGACAGUGUUUUUCGAUAGUGCGUUAGAAAUGAAAGAAUCUAUUUUAAAUCGUAUUUCUUUUUUAUAGUAAAAGUCGAUUAUUUCAUCAGAAGAAUUUGUCAACAGAAUAAAAUUCGAUUCUUCACUUUCGAGUACGGCGUUUUAGUCUUCUCUUUGGAUCAUAUACUUGGCAUCUCGAUAAAUAACAAUUCUAUUUUCACGCUGAAGAACAUGAUGUCAACACAAAGUAAAGUCUAUAUAUAUAUAUUUUACACAAUAUUCAAACGAAAACAGAUUUAGUUUUUCCACUCUUGACCAGCAUUAGUGCGCAACCAGUUUUUGACCGACGUGUUUUCCUUUUUUGUUACCAAACGAGAGGGAAUGUCGCGUCGCACCGAGACUUUCAUUGCUGACCGAAGACAAGUCAUGGCACGUGACCGAGGACAAUCAGAUGUGCGCAAAUUCAACGAGACACGACACACUUUGAGCAGUCCCCGAUACAUAAAUUCGACGUCUUGAAUUACGACAUUAAAAUGCAUGCAGAAAUGAAAUGAUGACUCUCGCGACUUUGAAUUUGCAGAUGAUCCUUUCUUGACUUGCCCCAGUUGAGUGAAGCAAUCACGCACUUGGUAGAAACUACUAAGCUAGAAGCUAUUAGUUGGAGAUAUAAAAUAGACGCAGAUAUAGAAUAAACGCAGAUGUAUAAGAAAUAACGCCAAGAUAACGAAUAAGAAUGUAAAAUAAUGAAAUAGAAAUGCAGAAUCGAAUUAAUGUAAUAUUCUCUUAGGAAUAAUCUUGUUCUGAAGCAACACUGCGCAAACCGAACAGUCAAUCACAAUUCAAUUGAGAAAAGAACUAAUAUAUGCAAUGAUUAUUCAAUUAUCACUUGCUUUUUAUGAGACGAUACUAUGAAAGAAAUUAAACACAACUUUUAUUCGUUUUUCGACCGGUUUUUAUGUCGAUAAUGAUUGUCAAAGAUCGUCAACAAAUUUACGAUUCUCCGUUAAGCUUCUUUUCACGAUUCAAAUAAAAAUGAUUAAGGAAUAGCAAGCAGAUUGCCUACACGGAGAGGCAUCCGCAGGCAUCAAUCCUGAUCAAUCCUGUUUACUGAUCGGGCAUUCUUGAUCAGCGUUUCAUGCAUUCGAUGUGAGCUCAGGCUACGUGCAAAACGUGGAAAAAGAACGGAUCUUUCCGCUAAUAUCGAUCUUCACGAGCGAAUACAAACCAAUACACUUGACUC
rnacentral:lncRNA from 1 species